rnacentral:rRNA from 1 species
GUAGUUAGCCGGGGCUUCCUCCUCAGGUACCGUCAUUUGUUUCGUCCCUGAGGACAGAAGUUUACAAUCCGAAAACCUUCUUCCUUCACGCGGCGUUGCUGGGUCAGGGUUUCCCCCAUUGCCCAAUAUUCCCCACUGCUGCCUCCCGUAGGAGUCUGGGCCGUGUCUCAGUCCCAGUGUGGCCGUUCAGCCUCUCAGCUCGGCUACCCAUCGUCGGCUUGGUGCGCCGUUACCGCACCAACUACCUAAUGGGACGCGAGUCCAUCUCAAAGCGCCUUAGCUUUGACCCCUUUGCCAUGCGGCAUUGUGGUCUUAUGCGGUAUUAGCAACGAUUUCUCGUUGUUAUCCCCCUCUUCAAGGCAGGUUACUCACGCGUUACUCACCCGUCCGCCACUAAAUCAACCGAAUUCCAUCCGAAAACUUCCUUCUAUUGACUCCGUUCGACUUGCAUGUGUUAGGCACGCCGCCAGCGUUCGUCCUCGAGCCAGGAUCAAACUACUGA